GUGCCCACUUCGGCAGCACAUGUACUAAAAUUGGUAUGAUACAGAGAAGAUUAGCCUGGCCCCUGUGCAAGGAUGCCACGCAAAUUCAUGAAGCAGUCCAUAUUUUU